rnacentral:rRNA from 1 species
AGGACGAACGCUGGCGGCGUGCUUAACACAUGCAAGUCGAGCGGAAAGGCCCUUCGGGGUACUCGAGCGGCGAACGGGUGAGUAACACGUGAGUAAUCUGCCCCUAGCUCUGGGAUAGCUCCGGGAAACCGGGAUUAAUACCAGAUACGACCACUUUAGACAUCUGCUGUGGUGGAAGAAUUUCGGCUAGGGAUGAGCUCGCGGCCUAUCAGCUUGUGGUGAGGUAACGGCUCACCAAGGCGACGACGGGUA